CUAUCACGUUGAAGCACUAGUUCUCAUCCGAUCAUCGAAGUUAAGCAACGUUGAGCCUGGCUAGUAACUAUAUGGGUGACCGCUUGGGAAUAUCAAGUCCUGCAA